CAUCAUUCUACAGUCCUGAACUGCUAAAGCUUGAAUGUUGAACAAUCCCUGUUGUGUUUACAGAAAGAGCACCAAAACGCUGAAGCAUCAAGUUAAGGUAAUAAAAGUUACGUUAAAGCAGAUGCAGAGAAGAUCAGGGAAACAAGGAAUCCAUCUUGGGAAGGUAAGGGAGCUUUGUUUAGAGCAGCAGAACAAAAGCUGAAAGGAGACAUAAUUUUUACCUGCGCUGAGGAGUUAAAGUCCAAGGAGGCAGAAAAUGCUCAAAAACAAUGGUUAGUUUAAAACUUUGGGUUGUUUUUUUUCUGCCAGUGGAGUCAUGCAAAGUUUAUUAGACUUUUAACCAACAAAUUUAUGAGCUUCUGAAACAGCUUCUCAACAGGAGAGGAGAGGUGAGGCAAAACCCAUGCAACUAAUGUAAUUGAGAGCUUAAUCUUUCUUGCAGACGUCUAUGAUGUGAUGGAGCUUCCUGCAAUGCAGAAGUGGAUUUAACAACCAGAGCUCUGGAGACCUGCAUUUCUGUGGCUCACUACAAAGCAGGGAACAUAGGCAGGUAAACAAGUAUUUCAGUAGGAUUCUACCUUCAAAGAAUGGGAUGCAGGCUGUAGGUAGGCAACUUCCAUGUCCAUAAAGAUACCAUCCAUCAGAAGUUGAGGCACAAGAACCUCCACUGACAGCUCAGAGAAUGAAAUACACAGAAUAAGUAGCCAAUAUUCAAGUAAGAUCAGGAAGACUCCCUUUGUAUACAUACUGAAAAGACAACAAUGACAAAACCUCAAGAGGUCCUAGCCCAUAGUUUGUAGCUGAUGAUCUUAAUCAUGAAAAGCACUUUACUUUGGUUGCUUGGUUGACUUCUCUUUGCAAACAGACUGUUAGGGUGCAGAGAAGUAUCUGGCAUCACCUUGGACGUAUCUGGAGAAGCAAAACUACAGACAAGCUGUUUCUUCCACUAAGUCGCUUCCUUUCUAACUUGGAAGCUACAUUCCAGACACCUGUACUCCACUAAAGACUGCUACCUACCUUUUUAACUAGUUGAAAGAUCAAAACUUCCUAAGUCGCUUCUGAAACUCGAAUGCUAUACAGCAAUUCUACCAAAGGGUCAUUAAAAGCAUAUACCUACCUCUUCUGGUUUAACUUCUCUGCUAGUGAAAUCUUUUAUGCAAUCCAGGAAGCAGUUUUCUGUAAUUUUAUUGUAUGUUCCAAGAAACUCCUUGAACUAUAAAUAAAAAUUAGACAAUGAGUAUUAAGAAAAA